CUGACUGCUAUCGGAUUGAUACUAAGCCAUGCGAGUCAUUGUAGUAAUACAAGGCAGACGGCUCAGUAACGCGUAGUCAACCUACCCUAUGGACGGGAAUAACCUCGGGAAACUGAGUAUAAUGCCCGAUAGAACACUAUUCCUGGAAUGGUUUGUGUUCCAAAUGAUUUAUCGCCGUAGGAUGGGACUGCGGCCUAUCAGUUUGUUGGUGAGGUAAUGGCCCACCAAGACUAUUACAGGUACGGGCUCUGAGAGGAGUAGCCCGGAGAUGGGUACUGAGACACGGACCCAGGCCCUAUGGGGCGCAGCAGGCGAGAAAACUUUGCAAUGUGCGAAAGCACGACAAGGUUAAUCCGAGUGGUUUGUGCUAAACGAACCUUUUGACAGUCCUAGAAACACUGUUGAAUAAGGGGUGGGCAAGUUCUGGUGUCAGCCGCCGCGGUAAAACCAGCACCUCAAGUGGUCAGGAUGAUUAUUGGGCCUAAAGCAUCCGUAGCCGGCUCUGUUAGUUUUCGGUUAAAUCUGUAUGCUCAACAUACAGGCUGCCGGGAAUACUGCAGAGCUAGGGAGUGGGAGAGGUAGACGGUACUCGGUAGGAANGGGGUAAAAUCCUUUGAUCUAUUGAUGACCACCUGUGGCGAAGGCGGUCUACCAGAACACGUCCGACGGUGAGGGAUGAAAGCUGGGGGAGCAAACCGGAUUAGAUACCCGGGUAGUCCCAGCUGUAAACUAUGCAAACUCAGUGAUGCAUUGGCUUGUGGCCAAUGCAGUGCUGCAGGGAAACCGUU
rnacentral:rRNA from 1 species